GGGUGUGCCGCAGAAACCCCUGUCGCACAGGUUAUAAUAAAAAGGAUGGUCGGGCCGCCGUCC
rnacentral:ncRNA from 12 species